CAUAGUGGUCAAGUAAGACAGUAAUACAUGCAUUUAAAACCAUAGAAUAGAUAGACCAGAUACUAUAAUGCAUUUAAACUGUAAAAUAAAUCAAGCAGGAAUCGAUAGAGAAUAAUGUCUGGUUCAGGCUCCAUUAGCAACCUUAAUUAAUUAUGCAUAUCUAUUAAUUUGCACAAAAUACAGUAUUACCAUUUAUUCGAACUUUAAUUCCAUGAUAGGAAAUAGGGUGAGG
rnacentral:lncRNA from 1 species